UCUCAGUUUCUGAGCAUAAUUUGAAAGCACAGGAAAAUUACACUACUGUUCAUGCAUUAAGAAAUGCCAUAAAAAGCUUCAACAUCACUCACACUUUAGGAAUCUUAGAAGACCUAAUCAAGAUUUAGUGAGUGCCCCCUCCCUGGAAGCACUCAAGGCCAGGCUGGAUGGGUUUGAGCAACCUCGUCUAGAGGGAGGUGUCACUGCCUAUAGCAGGGGGUUGGAACUAGAUGGUCUUAAAUGUCCCUUCCAACCCAAACGAUUCCAUGAUUCUAUCAUUCUGUAUCAUCACUUAGAAUAAAGAAACAAACCAUACAGAAUUGUUCUCAGUAGCCCCAGGGCGCUUUAUCUUACAUUAAGCAACCAAGCCACUUUUCAUGGCCUAUAGUGCUUUCAGAGACUGAAACUUCCAUGAGAUAACCUGUUUGUUAGUGUGAAAUUUGUGAAUCCUAGAAGAAAAAAGAGUUCAGGUAGAAGGAUUGGUGCGGUUAUGGGCUGCCUCUUGAGCGAAAUCUCUUCUUGCAACUGAAUGGAAGUCACAUCCAUCUCCUUCAGCCAUCUCUCCAUGUAAAUGAAGCCAGAACAAAACAGUCACAGGGGGAAGAAACAUUUAAGGAGAAGAAGAUAUAGAAUUAGUUAUGCCAGAGUAUGUGCUGGUACUUAAUAGAUAAAAAUCAGUUCUUAUGCACACUUUUGGAAAAUGCUAACAGAGUUUAUAUGAUAGAAAAUAAAUUUCCAGCCGCAAAGAAGGAAUCUACACAGCACAGUUAUAGAAUUCCACACUCAGGAACUAAAGACUCCCUUAGUUAGUUAUCUACUGCCUGGCUUUGUCACCAUAUUUGUACUUAUCUAAUCCCAUGCUCAAGUGCUUCCUUUCAGCUGCGGGUUUCUAUUAAAGGACACACUCCCACUAAAACCCUACUUUCUGAAAUCUCACUUUUUUUCAAAUCAUGUAUCCAUUCAAUACAUCCUUUAAACCACGCUGUGGAUGUUUCCCCUAUGAACAUUUGGUCUGAGAGAAGCAGAAAGCUAUCUGAAAUUUGGCUCUUUGGAAAACUAGGUUCAUUGAUUUGUAUUUUGAAAAGCUCCUUAUUGUUAAGAUAAAUGUCUUUUUCUUCUGACUAAUGAGACAGGAACAAAGUCUAAAUUGCUGCCUGCAAAUAAUGGUCCUAUUUCCUCAGCUGAAAAUGAGAACAUGAAUAUUGGGAUUCCUUUAAUCUGGACGAGUGUUGUAAUUUAGUUCUCAGUCUAUGACUUUGUUUAAGUAACCGUAUGAACUGGCAUGAUGUGUUACUUGUGAACUCAUUGUGGGCCUGCAUAUGCUUAAUAUAUAAAUUCAUUUCUUGUGCAGAGCGCAUGAACGGUGAGAGGCACACAGAUGAAAACCUUCUGUAAAAUGAAGUAGUGUUCUGUUAGGGACAUUGAGAUUUGGUGGACUGAUGCUCAUUAAAAAUCUGGUGUGUCAGGAUUAAAUACUUGCAACCAAAGAGCACAUUGGACAUGAUAAGAAUUAAGAAUAAUGUACAGGAAACGGUGCUUUAUUUUCUAAGCCGUAUUCCACGCACUCUGCACAGCCACCCUGCAGAGCCAUAUCCCCCAUGGCUGCACUCUGAGCCAAGAGCUCUCUUUGGCUCCAUUUCUCCUGGCUAAUCAGCUUGGCUCAAGAAGGAAUUUAUAAAGCUUAUGCUUUCUAAGACUCACAGUGAUUUGUUAGAUCUUCUUAUCGGCCUUAGAAAUCAGUAACUCAUUCUUUUCUCUGAAAAUAUUUCAUUACAUAUUUGUACAGAAAAGAGAUGUGAUAGAUGAUGUCAUACGACCAUAAAACUGCAAGCCAAAACCUUUCUAUUAAUGUUCAGAAGGCACAAUGGGAUGCUGUUCUGGGCUCUUAAUAAAAAAUUAUCAGUUUGUGUUUUGAAACACAGCGUCAUGCUUGAGAAGCAUCUCUGAGAUACUGGCAGCUCCUCGGAGAUGUAUGCUUUCCCCCCUGAGGCUUUUGCCUCGUUCACUCCACACACAAAGAAGGUCGCUGGGGAAAUGCUGCUGUUGCUGAAGCCACAGAUAGGACUGGAAGGCAGCUCAUGCUGCUCUUUUUCUCCUUGGAGAGCAAUCCUGGUGAAACUGUUGAAGAAGCAAACAUAGUACCCAUAGCAGCCCUCGACUGAAUCAACCUAUGUAGCUUCAUUAACAGAAAGAUGAUUUGUUAUGUCAGAUAAGAUGUGGCUUUCCUCUCUUAUUUUGUAACCCUUAGUGAAAUAUUCUUUCUUAGAGCGUAUUUUAUGUAUAGAGGAAGUUGUAGAAUCAUGUUUCUGAUAAAGAAUAUCACCCAUAUUUCAGUUACAAUCUUUUUGAGCUAAGUAGUAUUUGAAUAAUCUCAGGUUAUUGUGUAACAUUAAAAAUCCUUAAAUAAACCUUAGUAGCAUC
ensembl:lncRNA